rnacentral:piRNA from 1 species
UGCUUGCCUACCAGGCUGUCCACAACUUUU